UGCCCGCCCCUUGGAGCGGGGUUAGGGGGCCCUGGGGCUGCUCUUGGCCGCUGGGAGAACGCGGGCCUGGGCGUCUCGGUUGCUUAGACUCAGGGCUGUAUUGUCCUCGAGCUUUGAGACUCCCCAGGAGUUGCGUCUCUUCUCCAUCCCUUGCAACAGUCUGAAAAUUACCGUGUACCAGAUUCAGUUUAUGCUACUUUGAACUACCUGUAUGCUGUCCUUGAGGAUUGAAUGUGGUCAAUCUCCUUCACAAAAUGACAUUUGCUUAGUAGAUCUUCAGUAUGUCUCCACAAUAAAUAAAUAAAAAAAAAAUCCAGUGCUAGCAU